CUACGGGGUGCUCCAGUGGGGAAUAUUGCACAAUGGGCGCAAGCCUGAUGCAGCCAUGCCGCGUGUAUGAAGAAGGCCUUCGGGUUGUAAAGUACUUUCAGCGGGGAGGAAGGGAGUAAAGCUAAUACCUUUGCGCACUGACGUUACCCGCAGAAGAAGCACCGGCUAACUCCGUGCCAGCAGCCGCGGUAAUACGGAGGGUGCAAGCGUUAAUCGGAAUUACUGGGCGUAAAGCGCACGCAGGCGGUUUGUUAAGUCAGAUGUGAAAUCCCCGGGCUCAACCUGGGAACUGCAUCUGAUACUGGCAAGCUAGAGUCUCGUAGAGGGGGGUAGAAUUCCAGGUGUAGCGGUGAAAUGCGUAGAGAUCUGGAGGAAUACCGGUGGCGAAGGCGGCCCCCUGGACGAAGACUGACGCUCAGGUGCGAAAGCGUGGGGAGCAAACAGGAUUAGAUACCCGAGUAGUC
rnacentral:rRNA from 1 species